rnacentral:lncRNA from 1 species
GCAACCGUUGCGUCCCGGCCAGCACCGCUAGACGCAGGACAGAGUUCACCUGUUGACUGUCUCUUUGACCCGGCCCCAACAAGAAUGUCCACGCCACGGGGCAGGGGUCCUGUCUGUGCUACUCACAGCUGCACCCCCACACCCAGACCAGGGGUGAGAUGGGGAGAGGGAAAGGAGAAGGGGACACGGAACACCUGAACGCUGUGCCAGGCCGGGUGCUUGGCAAACGACAGUUCACAAGACAGAAAACGUCUCCUCUCCCGAGUACAUCUACCAAGGAAGACAGAAGGUAACUGAAUAAUUACUUGAAUAACAUCCCCUGUUGCAGCGGGGACAGAUCCUGGUGUGGAAGGCAAAUUACGCCCCCACCAACACACACAUGCCCAAAGAGGCCCAUGUUCUAAUUCCCAGAAUCACAGGGCAAAAGGGACGUGAAGAGGUUAAGAAGGAUUUUAAGGAUUGUGAGCUGGGAAGACUAUCCUGGACCAUCUGAGUAGGCUCAGUAUAGCCACAGGGGCCCUUAAAAUAGAAGAGGGGAACAAAAACAGAGGCGGAGAUAUGAAGACAGAAGCAGAGUCAGAGAGAGGUCUGAGGGUGCUAUGUGGCUGGCUCCGCAGACAGAGGGAGGGCCACGAGCUAAGGGGUGCCAGUGACCCCUAGAAGCUGGAAAAGACCAGGGAAUGGAUUAUCCCUUGAAUCCCCCAGAAGGAACGCUCCAGGAUGACACCCUGACUUCAGCCCAGUGAAACUCAUUUUGGACUUCUGACCUACAGGACCACAGAUAAUAAACCUGUACUGUUUUUUGUUUUUGUUUUUAGAUGGAGUCUCG